rnacentral:rRNA from 1 species
CCUACGGGUGACAGCAGUGAGGAAUAUUGGUCAAUGGGCGCGAGCCUGAACCAGCCAAGUCGCGUGAGGGAGGACGGCCCUACGGGUUGUAAACCUCUUUUGCCGGGGAGCAACGGGCGCCACGUGUGGCGUCACUGAGAGUACCCGGAGAAAAAGCAUGGGCUAACUCCGGGCCAGCAGCCGCGGUAAUACGGAGGGUGCGAGCGUUAUCCGGAUUUAUUGGGUUUAAAGGGUGCGUAGGCGGGUUGUUAAGGCCGUGGUGAAAUUUAGGGGCUCAACCCAUUCCCGGCAUUUGAAACUGGCGUUCUUGAGUGGAAGAGAGGUAUGCGGAAUGCGUGGUGUAGCGGUGAAAUGCAUAGAUAUCACGCAGAACCCCGAUUGCGAAGGCAGCAUGCCGGCUUCCGACUGACGCUGAAGCACGAAAGCGUGGGGAUCGAACAGGAUUAGAUACCCGAGUAGUC